rnacentral:rRNA from 1 species
GAAAGUAAGAAAGGGCGUAUGGCGGAUGCCUAGGCUCACGGAGGCGAUGAAGGACGUGAUAAGCUGCGAUAAGCUUCGGGUAGGUGCAAAUAACCCUUGAUCCGGAGAUUUCCGAAUGGGACAACCUAGCCGUCUGAAGGACGGUUACUAGCACUUAAGUGUUAGAGCUAACGCAGGGAACUGAAACAUCUUAGUACCUGUAGGAAGAGAAAAUAAAUGAAUGAUUCCCCCAGUAGUGGCGAGCGAACGGGGAACAGCCCAAACCGUUGACGUCGCAAGGCGCCAGCGGGGUUGUAGGACCGCGACAUUGUAUGCAAAUCGUGAACAGAACACUUUGGAAAAUGUGACCAUAGACGGUGAUAGUCCAGUAUGUGAAGCGAAAUGCAGCAUAGCGGUAUCCUGAGUAACGCGGGACACGAGGAAUCCUGCGCGAAUCUGCCGGGACCAUCCGGUAAGGCUAAAUACUCCCGUGAGACCGAUAGCGAACGAGUACUGUGAAGGAAAGGUGAAAAGAACCCCGAGCAGGGGAGUGAAAUAGUUCCUGAAACCAUACGCCUACAAGCGGUCGGAGCAUCUUACGAUGUGACGGCGUGCCUUUUGCAUAAUGAUCCUACGAGUUACCGUCACUGGCGAGGUUGAGUGUCAUGAGACACGUAGCCGCAGUGAAAGCGAGCCUGAAUAGGGCGCAUAGUCAGUGGGGGUAGACGCGAAACCAAGUGAUCUACACUUGGCCAGGAUGAAGUCCCGGUAACACGGGAUGGAGGUCCGCACCAAUAAGCGUUGAAAAGCUUCUGGAUGAGCCGAGUGUAGGAGUGAAAGGCCAAUCAAACUUGGAGAUAGCUCGUACUCCCCGAAAGGCAUUUAGGUGCCGCGUCGGAUGGUCACCGUGAGAGGUAGAGCGACCGAUAGGACAAGAGGGCUUCACCGCCUAUCGAGUCCUGACGAACUCCGAAUGCUCACGGUCUGCAGUCCGGCAGUAAGGGGGCGGGUGCUAAGGUCCGUCCCCGAGAGGAGAAGAAUCCAGACCGCCGUCUAAGGUCCCGGAGUUCUGCCUGAGUUAGUCUAACGAAGUCUGGUCCCUAUGACAGCUAGGAUGUUGGCUUGGAAGCAGCCAUUCAUUCAAAGAGUGCGUAACAGCUCACUAGUCGAGGGUCCGGGCAUGGAUAAUAAUCGGGUAUAAGGCAGACACCGAAGGCGCGGGAUAGCAUUUAAGAAAGUAUCGGUAGGGGAGCAUACUCACAGCGUGGAAUGGUGUACGUAAGUUAUCCUGGAGCGGUGAGUAAAGCAAAUGUAGGAAUAAGUAACGAUAAGGAGGGUUAGAUUCCCUCCCGCUGUAAGACCAAGGUUUCCCGGGCAAUGCCAAUCAGCCCGGGGUCAGUCGGGUCCUAAGUCUAAGCCGAACGGCGAUGGCGAUGGCAGAGACGGUUAAUAUUCCGUCACUGCCGCAUGGGGCGACGUGGAGACGGAGCAGUGAAACCACCGCGGGGCGACGGAAGUCCCCGUUGAAGAGUGUAGGUGUUGAGGAUGGCAGGCAAAUCCACCGUCCGAGCUGAACUUGAUAGUAUGGAGUCUUCUUCGGAAGAAUCCAAUAGUGUGGGUAAUCAUACUCCCGAGAAAAUCCGCUAAGCUUAACCCAUGCGGCACCCGUACCGCAAACGGACACACGUGGUCGGGUAGAACAUACUAAGGCGUUGAGAGAUUCAUGGUUAAGGAACUAGGCAAAUUGACCCUGUAACUUCGGGAUAAAGGGUCCUCGUGAUGAGCGAGGCGCAGAGAAUAGGUCCAGGCAACUGUUUAACAAAAACACAGGGCUGUGCAAACUCGAAAGAUGACGUAUACAGCCUGACACCUGCCCGGUGCCGGAAGGUUAAGAGGAGAUGUCACUCGCAAGAGGAAGCAUUGAAUUGAAGCCCCGGUAAACGGCGGCCGUAACUAUAACGGUCCUAAGGUAGCGAAAUUCCUUGUCGGGU